rnacentral:rRNA from 1 species
AGCAGCCGCGGUAAUACGUAGGGUACGAGCGUUGUCCGGAAUUAUUGGGCGUAAAGAGCUCGUAGGUGGUUGGUCACGUCUGCUGUGGAAACGCAACGCUUAACGUUGCGCGUGCAGUGGGUACGGGCUGACUAGAGUGCAGUAGGGGAGUCUGGAAUUCCUGGUGUAGCGGUGAAAUGCGCAGAUAUCAGGAGGAACACCGGUGGCGAAGGCGGGACUCUGGGCUGUAACUGACACUGAGGAGCGAAAGCAUGGGGAGCGAACAGG